rnacentral:rRNA from 1 species
AUUGAACGCUGGCGGCAGGCCUAACACAUGCAAGUCGAACGAGAGGCGGACGGGUGAGUAAUGUCUGGGAAACUGCCCGAUGGAGGGGGAUAACUACUGGAAACGGUAGCUAAUACCGCAUACCCUCGGAUGUGCCAAGAUGGGAUUAGCUAGUCGGUGGGGGAAAGGCUCACCUGGGCGACGAUCCCUAGCUGGUCUGAGAGGAUGACCAGCCACAGUGCAACUGAGACACGGUCCAGACUCCUCCGGGAGGCAGCAGUGGUGAAUAUUGCACAAUGGGCGCAAGCCUGAUGCAGCCAUGCCGCGUGUAUGAAGAAGGCCUUCGGGUUGUAAAGUACUUUCAGCGGGGAGGCGUUACCCGCAGAAGAAGCACCGGCUAACUCCGUGCCAGCAGCCGCGGUAAUAC